GGUCAUGAGAUUCAGCGACAAGCUCCGGCUCGCUGGGCGGCAACCCUCGGUGCACAUCAAGUGCCGAACACGGUGGGGUGCUCCGGAUGACGACCAGGCGGUGCUCGACCCCGAGCCCCGCAAGCGUGGGGC
rnacentral:ncRNA from 2 species